GUGAGUAUAAUUUAACCAAAAUGUUAGAUUGUGAUUCUAAAAAUAGGGGUUAAAACCCUCUUACCCACC
rnacentral:tRNA from 1 species